UACGUAGGGUGCGAGCGUUGUUCGGAAUCACUGGGCGUAAAGGGCGUGUAGGCGGCCUGGUAAGUCGGAAGUGAAAGCCCACGGCUCAACCGUGGAAUUGCUUUCGAUACUGCCUGGCUUGAGUACGGGAGAGGAAAGCGGAAUUCCCAGUGUAGAGGUGAAAUUCGUAGAUAUUGGGAAGAACACCGGUGGCGAAGGCGGCUUUCUGGACCGAUACUGACGCUGAGACGCGAAAGCGUGGGGAGCAAACAGG
rnacentral:rRNA from 1 species